CCACCCCCCAAAGUAUUUGUAAGUAAAAUUCUUAUUCUAGUUCCAGCAUGUGUUUUGGUUAAUGCUAUAUCCUUUUAUUUGAUCUUUACAAACACAAUCUUGUAUUUGUUCAGGAUAUGCUCCCUAAAACAGCAUUUUUCUAGCCUGUGACCUUGACUAUAUUAUCUCCUUCCAUUACCAAGGAAAUAAAUACCUUCAUGUUAAAGGUCUAUAGCUUUACUCUGAUUUGUUACCUUCUUUCCUCCAUCAAAUUUUGAUUUAUACUUCUGAUCAACUUCUGUUUCAAAUUAAGCAUGUUGUUACCUUUUAUAUUUGUAGAACAGCUCCCUAUAAACAUCUUCACAACUUUAACCCCUCUAAACACUUCCAUAAAAGUUUAUAAGGCCCUGAUGCUUCUGAAUCUUAAGCUGAAUUAGAAGCUCAGGCAAUUUUCCUAUUGCCUUUUGUCACCCACUCUUUCUGUAUUGUUCUUUUUCUUAGGUACAAAUUUCUCUUGAGUAGGAGCCAGUGUUUGGUUUUUGAUUUGUACAGCACCUUUUGUAAUCAGGUAUUUACCUUUAGUUGGGCAGCCAUGCAACCUGGAUGUAUUGGCAAUUAUUCACUUCUAAGGUGUCCUUUCUGUUCUCCCUAACCUUGUUGAUGUUGGCUGAUUCUUUUAGCUCCUCACUUACUUUUAUUAGUAAUAGCAUAAAAGAGCUCUAGGUGUGUGAAGACUUUUUUUCAUAGGAAUAACUUGCAGGGAAAAAUAUUCAUUCAUACACGUGUUACCAUGUUCAGUACAUAUAAACUAGAGUAUCUCCAGUUAUUUCUGUUGACUUAUUUUAUUAAAUUCACUGAAUAUUUGACAUAAAUCUUCUAAAUAUGAAUGCUGUCUUCCAAACACUUUGGAUUUUAGUGUCUUAUAACACUAUCUUUCAAUUCUACUUCUCCCAUCAGUGAUGCUCUUCCAUUUCUUAAAAUAACUGUGGAUCUGAUGUGAAAUUCUUAUCAGUUGUGCCACGCUGUUUUUGAUGUUCACUCAGAUAUAUGAAGGCUGCUCUGAAAAUGAUGAUUCCUAUGCCACCUUGCCUCAGUUUUAGGUAAAAAUCCUGUUUUGUUUUGGAAUUCACCUGCUAAGAAAUGUGGUGAGAGAAGCUGUGUCAAUGGCUCUAUCAUCUGGAUGGUGUGCCUGAGGAUUCAUUGCAUUAUGAGUGUGGUGAUCAGUCUGUGGUUGGAGGGAAGUCACUGGCCCAUUCUGAGAUGAGUUACUUAAAAUAUGAUUAAGGGAGAGAAGUUUCCAAACUAUGCACAGAAGACUUUUUUUACUGAUCUCAUCUUCCACCUGGAUAAAUUGCUUUGAGAUGCAUGUCCAAUGUGCCCCUAGUGAGGAAAUCCACUGAAAUGUGUAUCACUCUUUAACUGGGGUUUUAAGAAAACAACAUUCCUGAGAGAAAGGAGACAAGAAGUGUCAUGUAGCAACAGUAAGCAAAGAAAAUUGCACACUAUGACAUGAAUUAAAUUUGCAAACGCAGAAGCCAUGCCUCAUGAAACGACAAGCUAAGAUGGGGGAUUAAUAAGAUUAAUUAUUAAAAUAUUUCUUUACUGUUUGGAGUUAAUCUGGGAUGAGAAUGAGUCUGUUGUUGUCAAGCCUUGUUCAAUUUUAAUAUGGAAAUAUCUCCUGGCACAUAUUCUGAACACCCUAUAAAUGGUGAUAUUGAUCCGAUCUUCAAUUAAUGAGAGACCCUUUGCAAAAUUCUAAUCUGGGUUUGAAUAGUGAAUAGCUGUAGCAGGGUGGAUCUUUCAUACAUCAAGGUUUGAGAUAUAAGUCACCAGGAUUAUGGCUUUUUUCUUUAUUAUUUUAAUGCGGGCUUGCUUUCCCUGGAGCAAAAGACCAAAAGGGUGAGGUAUGAUUAAAAACUGUGGAGAAUAUUACUGAAGUCUAGUCCUGCUCUCUGUUGACACAUUUUUCAGGUAUCUGCUGUGUUUUUCACAGUUGGCCAGAAUGAGCAGUCUCCAUCUUUAGUCUUUACGCAGUGCAUUUCCCCUGUCAGUCCAUGCAAAGCAACUUUUAUAGUGGCCAACCUGUGCCUUUUUCUCCUUCAUGCAGUUUGCUGCAUCCAGUCCCACAAUAAGGAAUUGUGAGGUGCUUGCAUUUGUUACUCAUUGCUACCAAGACUAGACAGCAAACUGGAUGGUCUUGCUACAGCCAUAUAUUUAAAUAAAUACGAAAUUCUAUUUGUUUUCUUGAGACAAUAACAAAAACUUAACCAGGAAGCAUCCAUCCUCUUUUCCUACAAAUAAUUAUUAUAGCAAGUUUUUCUUUUCUUUUAUGCUUUUAUUGCCAUCAGGGCAAUCUGUGUUAGGCAUGAAGUAAUAUAUAGUUUCACUGAAGGAGAUGCUGAUACUGAGCGGUUUUCUAUAGAACGAUUUGUGGCCUGAGUCUGAAUCUUGCAGUUUUACUCUCUAACUGAUUUCCCACCUGGCUCAGAGAGUUGUGUUUUUACAGGACUUCAAAGCCUAAUUAAACUGGAGAAGAAUUUCCACUCAUCACAAGCUCCACUGGUUUAUGAAAUAUCUGAGCUGAAAGACAACUAGACUGCUUCAACAAGGCAGACCCUGUGAUUUGAUGAUAAAAGUGACAGAGCCGGUGGUAAUGCAACUGUGUUAAACCUACUUCCAAGCCACGGGGACUUGUGCUUUCAGAACCAUCUUUUGAGCUUGGAAUCACCACAACAUCUGCUGAAAAGAAACAAAGCCCAAAAGAUGGGCUCUGGUCUGCUUAAGCCUACCCCCACUUAGUGCUCCUCAAGUUUCAGACAGCAAUCAUGCCUACCUACUUUCUGCUCUUGCUGUUUAAUCCUUUAAGCUGUUAAUUAGGUGCCUUCUUAGUGAUCCUGAGAGCUCCUUGGGUAUUUGUACUCCUAAAUGUUUUCAAGGGUUCAAUAGAACUCAGUGCACAUACUCGAGAAGUGUGCAGCCUUGGCUUUUAGUAACUACUCAACUUAAUAGGCUUUCAAGCUAUUACUGUCUUCAAGAAACACAUCUCCAAAACCCUUCCAGAGGCUGCUAUCUGUGGGGGCAUUUUGCACUGCUCUUCUUUAAACUGAAGCAUUGUAUGGUCCAGCAGGCAAUAGACACAAACAAAACAGAUCAGAUAGAAAAUGUGUUGCAGAAAGUAGUCUGCAAGUUUAACCCUGCCUAGUUCUGGAUGUAGACUUUCUGGUUCUAUUGCCAGUCUUCAAAAAUGUGAACAAGAGCUUGAAAAUGUGGUGUGCAGAAGCCAGUAAGGAAAAAUCUAAUGCUUUUAAGAACAACGUUGGGUUCUUAAUUGGGUGUAAUUGGGUGAAUCUACCUUCUGUGCUUAAAAGUAGGGAAGACAGAUGAAUGAGCUUGAGCUGUACUUUCACGGUGAGAAGACAUUAAAUAACUGCUGAGGUUUGGGGUUGGAAUUUUUUUUUUUAUAAUCUUUUUUUCUCGUGUAACCAAAUAGCAAUGUUCUCCUUUCUGCAUAGGCUUACCACGUGUAGCAGUCUGAAGGGGAUCUGUGGACUUUGUCUUGAGAAAAUACCACUGUUUUGGAACUAUUCCAGCUCCCAGAUGCUGAGCAUUUUGCUGUUGACCUCACACUGCAUUGGCUGAAUGUUGAUCAUUGUGGUGGAUCCCUUAUUCGUGUUUAACUUACUGCUGGCUACUCUGUCAGAACUGUUUCCUGCAGGGCCUCCAGCAAUGAAAGCUAUGGUGCCAUCCAGCUGAAUCUUGUGCCUCUCCUGGACUAAGAUGCGUGAGCCAAGUUGGCUUCAGAUAUCCUUUCUUCAUUACCUCCUUACAGAUUUCAGCUGAGGAAUAUAAGGAUAUGCAAGUCAGUUAAACUCCUUAGGAUCAGUCUGGAAAGUAACGAUGGGACUUCUUUUUUUCUUCAAUUUCUAAAUCAACUUAAUUUUCUAUCUCCUUGGAGUAGAUUAAAGCACAUUUUUAAGCAAUUCCCAAAUACCUGCAAUAGAUAACAAUGCAAAGAUGAGUGAAAAAGCAUAAGAAAUGAAGAAAAUAUUCAAAGUCUAAAAAUAAAAGAAUAUACAUAUUGUCCAGGUUAGCUAAGUGAUCAAGCAAAGUCACAUACUUUCAGAGAAUGCUUUUUUGCGAACCAAUCUGAAGAAACAGACUCUAGAGAGACCUGAUGUUUGUAUUUGACUCUGUAAAUGAUGCUUCUCAAGAGAUCUCAUUCUAUCCCCUGUGACCUACUCAUGUUGAGACGGAUGCACUCCUCAAGGAAGCCAUCUUAUAAAUACAUACUUUUUAUCACUCCCAGAUCCUUUCAGGUUCUUCUGUGCUGUUUCUGCUAAAAGAGGAUGUUGCUUUUUAAAUGCCCUUCAGUCUCCGACUUCUCAGUCUUCAUUUUCAGUAUACGCUUCCUUCUCUGAAUUUCUAGUUCAAGACUGUGUAUUGUUUGUAUAAUUCUCUGGAGCAGGUAACUCAGAUACUGCUCAGUUUUACCUUUAAAUAGGAAGACAAGUUUUUCUCAUACUUCCAUCCUAAUUUUCUCCUGUCAUGAAUGAACUGCAGACAAUUUUGUCUUCCACAGUCAACCACAGAGAAACAAGAACUGAUGCUUACCAGAAAGACUGCCAUAAAGGAAAGCCAGGAAAAUAUCGAAGAAACUGCAAUUGUGGAAGUGCUGACAGUGUGAUACUUAGAGCAGAGCAGACAGUUUCUCCCUGGAAGCUGUUUUCCUACCCCCCAUGAUCAUUUCCUUCAGCAGGUGAGGAGCUCGUAUAGGUCUUCUGCUCUCCCCUUGGAUCUCUUUGAGAGCUGUUGUAGCUCUCUGCUUCUUGACCUCAGCUGAUCCUCUUCAAAGUGUUUCUCCAAGAUGUAGUUUGUCAACAGACAGAGAAAUCAAAGAAGCAAGGGUUUGCCUUGUUUCUCAUCCAGGUAAGCAAGCUCUCUUCUGAUUUAGCUGAGCAUGCAUUGCAGUGCGCAUCUGACUGCCAAUGCAUUUGUGAGUUCUGAAUAAAGCGAGUCCCAUUUUCCAUAUUGCAUCAGCAAAUGAUAAAGCACCCAAAUGCUAUGCAGACAGGGUGACCUCAGAGCAUUAGUAAUUUAGAUGAAGAGUUGACAGCAGAGGACAACUUUUAAAACAUAUGCAUUUUUAGGUACUGUUUGUUGCUCUGUGUGACACGUGGGAAUGUGCAGAUCAACCCUUAUUGCCUUGGUCCCCUACAACCCAGAUCUCGUAGUCUUCCCUCCACUCCAGGGAGGCCAUCUGUGGAGACGUCCUCUCAACUGUCCUACAACCAUUCAAGCAUGAGACUGGGACACGCCAAAGUUCAACUGAGCUCCAGGAAUUGCUGAGGUAAAAAAGAAGCAUACAACCACCAGUGAAAUCCAAAGAGCCAAAGAGAAUAACUAGGCUUUUAUGCAUAAAUGCUGGAUAGAACCAAGCUCUCUCACAUGGGUAAGAUUGAUGGUUGGGCUCAAUGUUCUUGAAGUUCUUUUCCAACCCAGAUGAUUCUAGGGCUUAUGCAAUUUGUGAUGAGCCAAGCAAAGGCCUUUCUCUCAGUCAACACUGUGUAAAAUGGUUUCACUCAUGGCUUGAGACCAUUUUCUUCCUGAGCUGGGACUUCUUAGGUGACUUAGGUGACCAAGCACUACUAAAGGGAUGGAAAGCAGCCUGCUCCAUGCCUUGACUGUUAUACUAUAGCAAAUAUUACAUAUAACUGACUGAUUUUUGUGAGAGCAAUGAAAAGUGCAUGAGUUUGCAAAAGGUUUAUCUAUGUUUUAUAGCAGAAAAAAAAAUGAGAGUAAAACUACACUGUUUUACUCUUUCAUGCUUCCUUUCUGCUUUUAGAUCUUGUUGCCUGUGAAGUAAAGCAGGAGGUUCUUUAGUUUCUGCAAAUGUCUCAGGGAAAAUGUAGCAGUACAGUUAUGUAUUUACAAAAUGGCAUUAAGCACACUAUAAAUUCUAUCAAUCAAACUGAAUAUUGCCAAAUGGGAUAUUAUGUUUGUUAAUGAAGCAUGUUUCCCAUUCACACUCCCUAAUCGAGCAGGAAACAGAGGCUACAGCACCUUUUCUGUAAUUCCCUGCAGCCAUAGUCUUGUUUCCCAGAACUAACUGCUCUGUGGGCAUUCCAUCUCUGAAUCUCUCCAUCUUAUUUCCAGUACAAUAGGAUUUUCAGCAGUGAUAAUUAUGCUUUGAAAAUGCUAAGUGACAAGCUCAUAGCUGGUAUAAAGUGAUUCAAAUGAACCUAUGCUAGUUUCAUGUCAUAGCCACUGUGUGCAUGUAGUAGAAAAGCAAAAACUUUAAUCCCUGUGAACGUUUCUUUUUAAUUAGAAACUUUACUAGGGAAAAGGCAUGACUUCUUUUAUUUCUUUUCUAUUUUUUUUUAUCCUCAAGAAAAAAGAUGUUGGACAAGGAUGAUUCUUUGUAAUCAGAAAGUCCAGUUUGACCUUACUAAAUGUAGGAAUAUUUUGGGAGUGGAUAGUCUUGCAGAUCUCAGUAGUUGGA